rnacentral:rRNA from 1 species
CAGCGGCGGACGGGUGAGUAAUGCCUAGGAAUCUGCCUGGUAGUGGGGGACAACGUUUCGAAAGGAACGCUAAUACCGCAUACGUCCUACGGGAGAAAGCAGGGGACCUUCGGGCCUUGCGCUAUCAGAUGAGCCUAGGUCGGAUUAGCUUGUUGGUGAGGUAAUGGCUCACCAAGGCGACGAUCCGUAACUGGUCUGAGAGGAUGAUCAGUCACACUGGAACUGAGACACGGUCCAGACUCCUACGGGAGGCAGCAGUGGGGAAUAUUGGACAAUGGGCGAAAGCCUGAUCCAGCCAUGCCGCGUGUGUGAAGAAGGUCUUCGGAUUGUAAAGCACUUUAAGUUGGGAGGAAGGGUUGUAGAUUAAUACUCUGCAAUUUUGACGUUACCGACAGAAUAAGCACCGGCUAACUCUGUGCCAGCAGCCGCGGUAAUACAGAGGGUGCAAGCGUUAAUCGGAAUUACUGGGCGUAAAGCGCGCGUAGGUGGUUUGUUAAGUUGGAUGUGAAAGCCCCGGGCUCAACCUGGGAACUGCAUCCAAAACUGGCAAGCUAGAGUACGGUAGAGGGUGGUGGAAUUUCCUGUGUAGCGGUGAAAUGCGUAGAUAUAGGAAGGAACACCAGUGGCGAAGGCGACCACCUGGACUGAUACUGACACUGAGGUGCGAAAGCGUGGGGAGCAAACAGGAUU